rnacentral:RNase_P_RNA from 1 species
GGAGUGGGCGAGGCGGUUGCUCCCGUUUCUCCGGCGGAGAAGACGGGGGAGGAAAGUCCGAACUCCACAGGGCAGGAUGGUCGCUAACAGCGACUCCGGGCGACCGGAGGAAAGUGCCACAGAAAAGACACCGCCGAAGGAUGAGGGCCAAACCUCAUCCUGGCAAGGGUGAAAAGGCGAGGCAAGAGCUCACCGCCCCGGCGGCGACGACGGGGGCAGGGUAAACCCCAUCCGGAGCAAGACCAAACGAGCCCCAUUUUGGGAUGGCCCGUCCCACGGGGUGGGUAGGUCGCUUGACCUCUUGAGCAAUCAGGAGGGGAGACAAAUAACCGCCCCUGCUUCAAAGCGGGAACAGAAUUCGGCUUACGUCCCACUCCUCCU